AUUGAACGCUGGCGGCAUGCCUUACACAUGCAAGUCGAACGGCAGCACGGGGGCAACCCUGGUGGCGAGUGGCGAACGGGUGAGUAAUGCAUCGGAACGUGCCCAGUAGUGGGGGAGUAACUAGUCGAAAGAUUAGCUAAUACCGCAUACGACCUACGGGUGAAAGCGGGGAUUCGCAAGAACCUCGCGCUAUCGGAGCGGCCGAUGUCUGAUUAGCUAGUUGGCGGGGAAAAGCCCACCAAGGCUUCGAUCAGUAGCUGGUCUGAGAGGACGACCAGCCACACUGGGACUGAGACACGGCCCAGACUCCUACGGGAGGCAGCAGUGGGGAA
rnacentral:rRNA from 1 species